ensembl:lncRNA
CACACACACACACACACACACACACACACACACACACACUUUUGCAGCUUCCUCUGACAGCUGCCCUGGCCUUCUGAAAUAGCCCUAUGGAAUAUUCCUCGCUUCCGUCUCCCUCUAAGCUGUGCUGAAAAGCUGUUUUUUUGGACACUGGCAAGAGUCAUUGCUGCCCACCCCAUCCCCAACCUCUGCCAACAUAAGUCCCCGUGUGGGUCCUGGGCAAAGACGGCUCAAGACAGUGUUAAAAGAUGAGCUUGACUCAGCUAAUAUUGGCAUCUCAUCGAGUUAGAGGCUGAGCUAGAGCACAGCCCCAGAGAUGAGGCAGGCGUCUACAGACCAGAGCCCUUCGCUCUGUUGGAGCCGUCUGUCUUGGCCUCGGCAUCCCAUCAGGCAGAUUCUUAACCACUGGACCACCAGGGAAACCCCUCCCAU